GACGAACGCUGGCGGCGUGCCUAAUACAUGCAAGUAGAACGCUGAAGAGAGGAGCUUGCUCUUCCUGGAUGAGUUGCGAACGGGUGAGUAACGCGUAGGUAACCUGCCUGGUAGCGGGGGAUAACUAUUGGAAACGAUAGCUAAUACCGCAUAAGAGUAGAUGUUGCAUGACAUUUGCUUAAAAGGUGCAAUUGCAUCACUACCAGAUGGACCUGCGUUGUAUUAGCUAGUUGGUGAGGUAACGGCUCACCAAGGCGACGAUACAUAGCCGACCUGAGAGGGUGAUCGGCCACACUGGGACUGAGACACGGCCCAGACUCCUACGGGAGGCAGCAGUAGGGAAUCUUCGGCAAUGGACGGAAGUCUGACCGAGCAACGCCGCGUGAGUGAAGAAGGUUUUCGGAUCGUAAAGCUCUGUUGUAAGAGAAGAACGAGUGUGAGAGUGGAAAGUUCACACUGUGACGGUAUCUUACCAGAAAGGGACGGCUAACUACGUGCCAGCAGCCGCGGUAAUACGUAGGUCCCGAGCGUUGUCCGGAUUUAUUGGGCGUAAAGCGAGCGCAGGCGGUUAGAUAAGUCUGAAGUUAAAGGCUGUGGCUUAACCAUAGUACGCUUUGGAAACUGUUUAACUUGAGUGCAAGAGGGGAGAGUGGAAUUCCAUGUGUAGCGGUGAAAUGCGUAGAUAUAUGGAGGAACACCGGUGGCGAAAGCGGCUCUCUGGCUUGUAACUGACGCUGAGGCUCGAAAGCGUGGGGAGCAAACAGG
rnacentral:rRNA from 1 species